CCUACGGGUGGCAGCAGUGAGGAAUAUUGGUCAAUGGGCGGAAGCCUGAACCAGCCAAGUAGCGUGAGUGAAGAAGUAUUUCGGUAUGUAAAGCUCUAUCAGCAGGGAAGAAAAUGACGGUACCUGAUUAAGAAGCCCCGGCUAACUACGUGCCAGCAGCCGCGGUACUACGUAGGGGGCAAGCGUUAUCCGGAUUUACUGGGUGUAAAGGGAGCGUAGACGGCAGCACAAGUCUGGAGUGAAAUGCCGGGGCUUAACCCCGGAACUGCUUUGGAAACUGUGCAGCUAGAGUGCAGGAGAGGUAAGUGGAAUUCCUAGUGUAGCGGUGAAAUGCGUAGAUAUUAGGAGGAACACCAGUGGCGAAGGCGGCUUACUGGACUGUAACUGACGUUGAGGCUCGAAAGCGUGGGGAGCAAACAGGAUUAGAUACCCGAGUAGUC
rnacentral:rRNA from 1 species